GACGAACGCUGGCGGCGUGCUUAACACAUGCAAGUCGAACGGAAAGGCCCUGCUUUGGUGGGGUGCUCGAGUGGCGAACGGGUGAGUAACACGUGAGUAACCUGCCCUUGACUUUGGGAUAACUUCAGGAAACUGGGGCUAAUACCGGAUAGGAGCUCCUGCUGCAUGGUGGGGGUUGGAAAGUUUCGGCGGUUGGGGAUGGACUCGCGGCUUAUCAGCUUGUUGGUGGGGUAGUGGCUUACCAAGGCUUUGACGGGUAGCCGGCCUGAGAGGGUGACCGGCCACAUUGGGACUGAGAUACGGCCCAGACUCCUACGGGAGGCAGCAGUGGGGAAUAUUGCACAAUGGGCGGAAGCCUGAUGCAGCAACGCCGCGUGCGGGAUGACGGCCUUCGGGUUGUAACCCGAUUUCGCCUGUGACGAAGCGUGAGUGACGGUAAUGGGUAAAGAAGCACCGGCUAACUACGUG
rnacentral:rRNA from 1 species